GCGCAGCAGUCGAGAAUCCUCCGCAAUGCGGGAAACCGUGACGGGGUCACCCCGAGUGCCACCCCGAUGAGGGUGGCUUUUCCCCGGUCUAAAAAGCCGGGGGCAAUAAGCGGGGGGCAAGUCUGGUGUCAGCCGCCGCGGUAAUACCAGCCCCGCGAGUGGUCGGGACGUUUAUUGGGCCUAAAGCGUCCGUAGCCGGCUCGGUAAGUCCCUCCUUAAAUCCACGGGCUCAACCCGUGGGCUGGGAGGGAUACUGCCGGGCUAGGGGGCGGGAGAGGCCGAGGGUACUCCCGGGGUAGGGGCGAAAUCCGUUAAUCCCGGGAGGACCACCAGUGGCGAAGGCGCUCGGUUGGAACGCGCCCGACGGUGAGGGACGAAAGGCUGGGGGAGCAAAGGGGAUUA
rnacentral:rRNA from 1 species